rnacentral:lncRNA from 1 species
UCUAUAUAUAAUAUAAAAAGAGAAUCUAUGCCCUCAAUGAUUGACAUGUGGCAAAUGAUGAUGUCAUUUGUCAAAAUUGCUUAGUUGGAAUUCAAUUGAUUAGGUGGAUUCUUCAAUUGAUUAGGUGGCAUUUUUAUUUAUGGAUGUUUUUAAGUUUUUUCCUAUUUUACAUUUACACAAUCAUUUAAUAAUUACCACGUG